CAACUUAUUAUGAAAAAGUUAAAGACAUUAUUCUUAAAAGCAUGGUUCAAUGAUAAAGAUAAUGUUACUGGAAAGCUAGAUAUAUAUUUUUCUCAUAAAAAAAAUUUCCAAAUGGAAAAAUAUAGUUGAUAUUCAAAGUUUUCAAUCAAGACAAAUUUUAUGUAAAUUUCGCAUAAGUGCCCACCAAUUACGAGUAGAAAAAGAGCGACAUAAGAACAAACCUAUAGAACGGUCACAGAGGACUUGUUUUUGUUCUCAUAAUGAUAUUGAAGAUGAGUUUCAUUUUUUAAUAAACUGUCCAUUGUAUAAUAAAUGUCGGGAAUCAUUGUUUGAACAAGCUCAUGAGCAC
rnacentral:lncRNA from 1 species